rnacentral:ncRNA from 1 species
UAUACGGCGUUGAAAGAGGCCAUUAGGAAGAUACCCUGUACAGGAAAGAUAAGUCAUAGACUGAGAGCUUAUCGGCAGAAGGACCUUUUGAAGUUUCCCUCUGGAGUCCCCUAUCUGAAUUUUUAGUAGGUUAGGGCGGUGAAAAUCGUUAUAAUUGCUUUAAGUGGGUAUUAUAUAUACCAAUUAGGGUGGUACCACGGAGAAUACAGCCUUCGUCCCUUAC